GACGAACGCUGGCGGCGUGCUUAACACAUGCAAGUCGAACGAUGAACCGGAGCUUGCUCCGGGGAUUAGUGGCGAACGGGUGAGUAACACGUGGGCAACCUGCCCCAGACACCGGGAUAACCUUCCGAAAGGAUGGCUAAUACCGGAUAUGACCACUUCGGGCAUCCGACGGUGGUGGAAAGGAUUCUGGUCUGGGAUGGGCCCGCGGCCUAUCAGCUUGUUGGUGGGGUAAUGGCCUACCAAGGCGACGACGGGUAGCCGGCCUGAGAGGGCGACCGGCCACACUGGGACUGAGACACGGCCCAGACUCCUACGGGAGGCAGCAGUGGGGAAUAUUGCGCAAUGGGCGAAAGCCUGACGCAGCGACGCCGCGUGAGGGACGAAGGUCUUCGGAUUGUAAACCUCUUUCAGCAGGGACGAAGCGAAAGUGACUGUACCUGCAGAAGAAGCACCGGCUAACUACGUGCCAGCAGCCGCGGUAAGGCACGACUG
rnacentral:rRNA from 1 species